rnacentral:miRNA from 1 species
UGCUUUUAACGCGGAGCUUUAGU